AUUGAACGCUGGCGGCAUGCUUUACACAUGCAAGUCGAACGGUAACAGCACUUCGGUGGCUGACGAGUGGCGAACGGGUGAGUAAUACAUCGGAACGUGCCUAGUAGUGGGGGAUAACUACUCGAAAGAGUAGCUAAUACCGCAUGAGAUCUAAGGAUGAAAGCAGGGGACCUUCGGGCCUUGCGCUACUAGAGCGGCUGAUGGCAGAUUAGGUAGUUGGUGGGAUAAAAGCUUACCAAGCCGACGAUCUGUAGCUGGUCUGAGAGGACGACCAGCCACACUGGGACUGAGACACGGCCCAGACUCCUACGGGAGGCAGCAGUGGGGAAUUUUGGACAAUGGGCGCAAGCCUGGUCCAGCAAUGCCGCGUGCAGGAUGAAGGCCUUCGGGUUGUAAACUGCUUUUGUACGGAACGAAAAGCCCUCUUCUAAUACAGGAGGGUCAUGACGGUACCGUAAGAAUAAGCACCGGCUAACUACGUG
rnacentral:rRNA from 1 species